rnacentral:rRNA from 1 species
AGGAUGAACGCUGGCGGCGUGCCUAAUACAUGCAAGUCGAACGAAGAUCUAGCUUGCUAGAUCUUAGUGGCGAACGGGUGAGUAAUACAUAAAUAAUCUGCCCAUUGGACUGGGAUAACUAUUGGAAACGAUAGCUAAUACCGGAUAGGUGAUUUGAAGGCAUCUUCGAAUCAUUAAAGUAGGGUCACUACACCAAUGGAUGAGUUUAUGGCGCAUUAGUUAGUUGGCGGGGUAACGGCCCACCAAGACGAUGAUGCGUAGCCGACCUGAGAGGGUGACCGGCCACACUGGGACUGAGACACGGCCCAGACUCCUACGGGAGGCAGCAGUAGGGAAUUUUCGGCAAUGGGCGCAAGCCUGACCGAGCAACGCCGCGUGAGUGAUUAAGGCCUUCGGGUUGUAAAGCUCUGUUGUAAGGGAAGAACAUUCAGGAUAGGAAAUGAUCUUGAACUGACGGUACCUUACCAGAAAGCCACGGCUAACUACGUG